rnacentral:rRNA from 1 species
AUACGGAGGAUGCGAGCGUUAUCCGGAUUUAUUGGGUUUAAAGGGAGCGUAGGCGGGAGCUUAAGUCAGCGGUUAAAUGGUGCGGCUCAACCGUGCCCUGCCGUUGAAACUGGGUUUCUUGAGAGUGCAAGAGGCGGAUGGAAUUCAUGGUGGAGCGGGGGAAUGCUUAGAUAUCAUGAAGAACUCCGAUUGCGAAGGCAGUCCGCUGGGGCACGUCUGACGCUGAUGCUCGAAGGUGCGGGAAUCAAACAGGAUUAGAUACCCUGGUAGUCCGCACGGUAAACGAUGAUUACCCGCUGUCGGCGGCAGACAGUCGGCGGCCAAGCGAAAGCGAUAAGUAAUCCACCUGGGGAGUACGCCGGCAACGGUGAAACUCAAAGGAAUUGACGGGG